AGCGACUUAUAUUCUGUAGCAAGGUUAACCGUAUAGGGGAGCCGGAGGGAAACCGAGUCUUAAUUGGGCGUUAAGUUGCAGGGUAUAGACCCGAAACCCGGUGAUCUAGCCAUGGGCAGGUUGAAGGUUGGGUAACACUAACUGGAGGACCGAACCGACUAAUGUUGAAAAAUUAGCGGAUGACCUGUGGCUGGGGGUGAAAGGCCAAUCAAACCGGGAGAUAGCUGGUUCUCCCCGAAAGCUAUUUAGGUAGCGCCUCGUGAAUUCAUCUCCGGGGGUAGAGCACUGUUUCGGCUAGGGGGCCAUCCCGGCUUACCAACCCGAUGCAAACUGCGAAUACCGGAGAAUGUUAUCACGGGAGACACACGGCGGGUGCUAACGUCCGUCGUGAAGAGGGAAACAACCCAGACCGCCAGCUAAGGUCCCAAAGUCAUGGUUAAGUGGGAAACGAUGUGGGAAGGCCCAGACAGCCAGGAUGUUGGCUUAGAAGCAGCCAUCAUUUAAAGAAAGCGUAAUAGCUCACUGGUCGAGUCGGCCUGCGCGGAAGAUGUAACGGGGCU
rnacentral:rRNA from 1 species